rnacentral:lncRNA from 1 species
UCCUUCGGCAAAUCCUACCGGCCUGCAUCACAGAACUGGCUUGAAUUCUUUUUUUUUUUUUAAUUAGAUAUUUAUUUACAUUUCAAAUGUUGUCCCCUUUUCCUGGUUUCCCCUCUGAAGCCCCCCCUACCACCAGCCCCCAAACCCCACUCCCCCUCUUGAAUUAUUGAUCCUCUGGCUUUUCCACUUAAGUGCUGAGAUAGCAGCUGUGUAGCACUGUGCCAAUGUCUUGUUCUUUCUUGUUUCCCGAAGCCCCACAUGUAUGCACAUGUCUUUUUCUGCUCGGGGCCUCUGAAAAACUGUGGAGUAGCAGGAUAACAGCCUGGGCUGCAGGGAAUCCUGCUGGAGUGAGCUCUACCUCCAGUCCUGGGCUGUGCUAUUGGCUGUACUCUUGUCUCCCAAGUUUACUCCAGCCUGAGUGAUCCUGCUCCUGUGAUAGCUCCACCCCGUAGCUUAGCACCAACGAUUUCUCUGGCCACUCUGCACACUGUCUCCUGUGCUUGUGGAGGAAGGAGGCCUUGAAGCUGAGAGCAGUCAGCAGGCCAGGUCUGCCUCACUGAGUCUGCAGCUCCCCUGGAGCUAGCUUGUAAACCAGCCAGGUAUAAGGAGCAUUAGCCAAGAAGCCGCAGGAGCAGUUCUAUACUAUUUAAGAAUUUAAGAGUCAGGCAGUGGUGGCCACGAACUUUAUUCCCAGCACUUGAGAGUCAGGUGGGCCUUUGAGUUCGAGGCCAGGCUGGUCUACAGAGUGAGUUUCAGGACACCCAGGGCUACACAGAAACCCUGUCUAGAAAAGAACAAACAAUUUAAGAGAAGCAGCCUCAGGAGAACCUACAGGCCCAGGGUGGGUUUGGAAGGCUGGCACUGAUUGCUAAGGGAUGCAGAGAGGUAGGGUGGAGGGCUGAUGGGCGUGUCAGAUGGGGACCACCGGAAGGGCCUAGGUUUGGUGAGCCCCUCGCCCAGUUUUGCAUUACACUUUGUCUCUUGCAGUCUGAGCUACUGAGCAGUCCUCACCUAGCACCUGCCACAGAGCACUGAGACAUGGUUUAGCUUCUCUGGUUCACUAUGAACCUGUGUGUGCUGCUGUCCCCCUCAUUGCUAGUUUUGCCCUGCUCCUGGGCUGUGGUGUCUACCCGCCCUGUGCCACAGAGACCACUUCCAAUGUCCAGUGGACUUAGUUUUCAAUCCUAUAGUCUGUGACUUAGCAAGGUCUGCCAGGCUUUUUUCUCCUUCCUGGGCUGUGGUAAAAAAUAGAAAAUUUCAGCCAGAGUGUCCCAUUGAAGCAGCAUGUCCUACCUGGACAGGAGCCUUAGGCCUCCCCUCCCCCCAAAGUGGGGUGAAACUAGAACAAGACGAGGGCUCUGUUGACACUGGCUGUGUGACACUGGCCAAUUAGUCCUAUAUAUGUUUAUGUGUGAGUGGGUAUGUACACAUGCAUGGAGGUGCCCACUGAGACCAGAAACAUUUGCUCUCCUGAAGCUGGAGUUCCAGGGAGUUGUAAGCCACCUGAUAUGGGUGCUGGUAACUGAACUCGGGUCUUCUUCAAUAGCAGUACCCACUUUCAACUGCUUGACACCACCCUAACUAACAGUGUGUCAAGAGUAAAGGAGCUGAAUUAGACAGUGGUACAGAUGCCAGGAAAAUAAUUCUGGGUUCACACAGUCCGUGGCUGGCCUCAAAUUGACGAUCCCGCUGCCCUGUCUUCCUAAAUGUUGGGAUUACAGACAACUAAUAAAUACCACACUCUGUUUACUCUGGUCCUUUAAGAAGGCCUAGAACCCAGGCUAGACUGGGGCUGUGGUCUCCUAGGAACUGAAGGGACGACGACAACAACAACAAACCAUCUUCGAUUUUGAUGACAGCUACAGAAGGCAGACAGGUAAAGCAGGAAAUGGUGAAUUUGGCGUUGACUUCUCCCUCCGGCCCCUCUCGCUUUCCCACUUUUACCCUCUCUCUACAGCUUUCCUGAGCCCCGCUGUUGUGUUUUGAAUAUGAAGUGUCCCCCCACAGGUUCAUAUUUGAACACUUGUUGCCCAACUGACAGUACUGGUUUGACAGACAAUGUAACCUAUAGGACAUAGAGCCUUCCAGGAGGAAAUGGGUCGUUAGGGGCGGGCCUUGUGGCUUUAUAGUCCAGUCCCACUUCCUGUUUUCUGUCUGCUCUCCCAACAGUGACUGGCUUCCCAUGCUUAUACUCCCUGCUUUCCCUGCCAUGAGGGAUGGACACCUUCUUAAAGUAUAAACUGAAACCAACUGUCUGAGUUAGGGUUUUACUGCUGUGAACAGACACCGUGACCAAGGCAACUCAUAACGACAACAUUUAAUGGAGCUGGCUUACAGGUUCAGAGGUUCAGUCCAUUAUCACCAAGGUGGGAACGUGGCAGCAUCCAGGCAGGCAUGGCGCAGGAGGCGCUGAGAGUUCUACAUCUUCAUCUGAAGGCUGCUAGUGGAAUACUGACUUCCAGGCUCUAGGAUAAGGGUCUUAAAGUCCAUGCCCACAGUGACACACCUACUCCAACAGGGCCACACCUUCUAAUAAUGCUGCUCCCUGGGCUGAGCAGAUACAAACCAUCACAUUCCACUCCCUGGCCCCUAUAGGCUUGUUCAAACAUAUGAGUCUAUGGGAGCCAUACCUAAACAUAGCAUAGUGC